rnacentral:rRNA from 1 species
AGGGCACCACCAGGAGUGGAGCCUGCGGCUUAAUUUGACUCAACACGGGAAAACUCACCCGGCCCGGACACUGGAAGGAUUGACAGAUUGAGAGCUCUUUCUUGAUUCAGUGGGUGGUGGUGCAUGGCCGUUCUUAGUUGGUGGAGUGAUUUGUCUGGUUAAUUCCGAUAACGAACGAGACUCUAGCCUACUAAAUAGAUCGUCGGCUUACAAACGCCGGCGAGACUUCUUAGAGGGACAGGCGGUGAUUCAACCGCACGAAACAGAGCAAUAACAGGUCUGUGAUGCCCUUAGAUGUCCGGGGCCGCACGCGCGCUACACUGAAGUGAUCAGCGUGCUUUUUCAACCUACUCUGUCAAGAGUGGGGAACCCAAUGAACCUUCUUCGUGAUUGGGAUAGGGGAUUGUAAUUGUUCCCCUUGAACGAGGAAUUCCCAGUAAGCGCGAGUCAUARGCUCGCGUUGAUUACGUCCCUGCCCUUUGUACACACCGCCCGUCGCUACUACCGAUUGAAUGUKUU